ACCAGCAACUCAUUUUUUGGUGGUUGGGUAGAUGGCGGCGUGCCCGUGUCAUAGACCACCAGACAAGUGCAGACAAGGCCUGGAAGGAGGAUAUGGUGCUAAUAGUGUUGCACUUGGCAUUGGCCUUAGCUUUGAGUCUCGCAAUGGAUUGUGGUGAGAAAUGGAAGAACCUGUCUUUAAGCGUCAUGGGUCAUGGGUGGCAGGCAUCUAUCAAUGAACUCAUCAUGGUGAGAGUAAGGUAAAUUGAUAACAGGGCCGUGGCCAUCAAGGACCCAGCGUGUGAGUAUUGGUGGGCGUGAGAUUUGAUCAUGCUUUCCCUUUCCCUUAACCAUCCUGCAUAUCUCGGCCCAUAAAUUGAAGAAAUUCCAAAAGGAACUGCCAUCACCUAUGGCAUGGUUGAAGGAGCAUGCUAUCAAUGCGAUGAAGAUUCCAUCCACUAACUCUGUCACCUACACGGCCAGCAAAGGCAAGGUGUGACCAUCAUGGUUGAUAGCUUCUCCUUGCAGAAAAAAUGAUCGAACAAUGGGGGGAACGUGAAUGGGGGAGAGGAUAUCUGUCAUGG